rnacentral:rRNA from 1 species
UACGUAGGGGGCUAGCGUUGUCCGGAAUCAUUGGGCGUAAAGCGCGUGUAGGCGGGUCUUUAAGUCAGGGGUGAAAUCCUGGAGCUCAACUCCAGAACUGCCUUUGAUACUGAAGAUCUUGAGUUCGGGAGAGGUGAGUGGAACUGCGAGUGUAGAGGUGAAAUUCGUAGAUAUUCGCAAGAACACCAGUGGCGAAGGCGGCUCACUGGCCCGAUACUGACGCUGAGGCACGAAAGCGUGGGGAGCAAACAGG